AUUCUUAAAAUUUUGCUAAAAAAUUACUAUCAAAUCCAAUUUAAAGAAAAUUUUACAACCAUCAGACCAUAACUAAAUGAAAUGUAAUCCACCUCUUCUCAGAUAUAAGCUACAUCUUGACUUGAAUUCCUUUCCCUAAAAAUCAUGAAUAUUUUGGUUCAUAAGAAAUAUUCAACCUACAGCGAUAUAUAAGCUAAAAACCUAAGUAAAAAAAAUCGUGGAAUAUCAAUUAUAGGGCAGAUUCCUCUGAAUAGACUAAAAUACCGCCAUCUCUAUUAAUUUUCAAGAACUUAACUACUAAUAAUCCAGGCUCAAAUACUUAAUUUUUAUAAUAGGGUAUCUAAUCCUAGUUUA
rnacentral:rRNA from 1 species